rnacentral:rRNA from 1 species
AUUGAACGCUGGCGGCAGGCCUAACACAUGCAAGUCGAACGAGUGGCGGACGGGUGAGUAAUGUCUGGACAACUGCCCGAUGGAGGGGGAUAACUACUGGAAACGGUAGCUAAUACCGCAUACCAUCGGAUGUGCCCAGCUGGGAGUAGCUAGUAGGUGGGGUAACGGCUCACCUAGGCGACGAUCCCUAGCUGGUCUGAGAGGAUGACCAGCAAAACUGGAACUGAGACACGGUCCAGACUCCUACGGGAGGAAGCAGGGGGGAAGAUUGCACAAUGGGCGCAAGCCUGAUGAAGCCAUGCAGCGUGUAUGAAGAAGGCCUUCGGGGUGUAAAGUACUUUAAGCGAGGAGGCGUUACUCGCAGAAGAAGCACCGGCUAACUACGUGCCAGCAGCCGCGGGAAUAC